rnacentral:rRNA from 1 species
AACGAACGCUGGCGGCAUGCCUAACACAUGCCAGUCGAACGAGACCUUCGGGUCUAGUGGCGCACGGGUGCGUAACGCGUGGGAACCUGCCCUUAGGUUCGGAAUAACUCCCCGAAAGGGGUGCUAAUACCGGAUAAUGUCUUCGGACCAAAGAUUUAUCGCCUUUGGAUGGGCCCGCGUUGGAUUAGCUAGUUGGUAGGGUAAAAGCCUACCAAGGCGACGAUCCAUAGCUGGUCUGAGAGGAUGAUCAGCCACACUGGGACUGAGACACGGCCCAGACUCCUACGGGAGGCAGCAGUGGGGAAUAUUGGUCAAUGGGCGAAAGCCUGAUCCAGCAAUGCCGCGUGAGUGAUGAAGGCCUUAGGGUUGUAAAGCUCUUUUACCCGGGAUGAUAAUGACAGUACCGGGAGAAUAAGCUCCGGCUAACUCCGU